rnacentral:misc_RNA from 1 species
GAUGAAGAACGCAGCGAAAUGCGAUACUUGGUGUGAAUUGCAGAAUCCCGUGAACCAUCGAGUCUUUGAACGCAAGUUGCGCCCGAAGCCGUCAGGCCGAGGGCACGCCUGCCUGGGCGUCACACGCCGUUGCCCCCCCGCGCCCCGCACCCAACUCUUUGGGAGCGACCGCGGGGCGGGCUGAUGAUGGCCUCCCGUGCGCUCCGCCGCGCGGUUGGCCCAAAUACCGAGUCCCCGGCGACGUGCGCCACGACGAUCGGUGGUUGAGAGACCUCUGUCGCAAGUCGUGCGCGCCCGUCGCGUCACGCGGGCUCGCAUAGCGACUCGCGCCGCACCCGGUGCGGAGCUUUCAACGCGACCCCAGGUCAGGCGGGGUUACCCGCUGAAUUUAAGCAUAUCAAUAAGCGGAGGA